rnacentral:ncRNA from 1 species
GGUCAAGUUAAUAAGGGCAUAUGGUGAAUGCCUUGGCAUCAGACGGCGACGAAGGACGCGGCAGGCGGCGAAAUGCUACGGGGAGCUGCGAGUAAGCUUAGAUCCGUAGAUAUCCGAAUGGGGAAACCCUUCAGGGGUCAUGCCCUGAAAUUAUACACUGAAUACAUAGGUGUAUAAGGCGAACCCGGGGAAGUGAAACAUCUCAGUACCUGGAGGAAAAGACAUCAAAAGAGAUUCCCUUAGUAGCGGCGAGCGAAGGGGGAAGAGCCUAAACCCGGGAAGACAACAAGUCAACGAGCGCGGUUUUAAGGAUCGUGGUUGGUUGGUUUAUUGUCUUUCCGGGGGUUGUAGGACCGCAUAAGUACGAUAAUCGAUAUAUAGCUGAACCAUUGUGGAACAAUAGACCAUAGAAGGUGAUAGUCCUGUAAGCGAAAUGUAUUGAUUAGGGAAGCGGUAUCCUGAGUACUACGAGACACGUGGAAUCUCGUGGGAAUCUGGGGGGACCACCCUCCAAGGCUAAAUACGAGCUGAUGACCGAUAGCGCAUAGUACCGUGAGGGAAAGGUGAAAAGAACCCCGGUGAGGGGAGUGAAAUAGAACCUGAAACCAUAUGCUUACAAUCAAUCAGAGCGUGUAUCCCAGCAAUGGGAUAUGUGUGAUGGUGUGCCUUUUGAUUAAUGAGCCGGC